UACGUAGGUGGCAAGCGUUGUCCGGAUUUACUGGGCGUAAAGAGCGCGCAGGCGGUCGUUCAAGUCGAGUGUGAAAGCCCCCGGCUCAACUGGGGAGGGUCAUUCGAAACUGGUCGACUCGAAGGCAGGAGAGGGUAGUGGAAUUCCCGGUGUAGUGGUGAAAUGCGUAGAUAUCGGGAGGAACACCAGUGGCGAAGGCGACUACCUGGCCUGUUCUUGACGCUGAGGCGCGAAAGCUAGGGGAGCAAACGGG
rnacentral:rRNA from 1 species